rnacentral:rRNA from 1 species
GGACUACCCGGGUUUCUAAUCCCAUUUGCUCCCCUGGCUUUCGUUCCUCAGCGUCAGUUAUGGCCCAGCGAGUCGCCUACGCCACCGGUGUUCUUCCUGAUAUCUACGCAUUUCACCGCUACACCAGGAAUUCCACUCGCCUCUACCACACUCCAGUCUGCCAGUAUCCAAUGCACUCCCAAGGUUGGGCCUUGAUCUUUAACAUCAGACUUAACAAACCGCCUACGAACUCUUUACGCCCAAUAAAUCCGGACAACGCUUGCAUCCUACGUCUUACCGCGGCUGCUGGCAC